GCCAAAAACUUAGCUUAAUUAUUCCAUAUGUUAAAAAAAAUUAAAUACUAUUAACUAAAACAUUUUUAAAAUCUAGUAAAGGCGAUUAAAAUAUUAUUUUAAGCUAUAAAUAUUGUACCGCAAGGGAACAGUGAAAUAAAAAUGAAAUAAAUUUUAAGCAUUAAAAAGUAGAGAUUAAACCUCGUACCUUUUGCAUCAUGGUUUAACUAGUAAAAUUAAGCAAAACGAUUUAUAGUUUAACUCCCCGAAAUUAAGCGAGCUACUUUUAGACAGCUAAAUGAGCAUAUCCGUCUCUGUUGCAAAAGAGUGGAGUGAUCUAAAAGUAGAGGUGACAGACCUAACGAGCUUAAUGAUAGCUGGUUACUUAAAAAAAGAAUUUAAGUUCAGCCUAAAGUUUUUAUUAAUGUAAUAAAAUAAUACUUUAACUUUAGAGUAAUUCAAAUAAGGUACAGCCUAUUUGAAACAGAAUACAAUCUAAACCACAGGGUUAAUUAAUGUAAAAUAAAAUAAAGUGGGCCUAAAAGCAGUCACCUUUUAAAUAGCGUCAUAGCUUAAUUUUUUACACACUAAAUAUUAUUAAUAAUAGUAAACCCUUCAUUUUUAUUAAGUAACUCUAUAUUUUUAUAGAAGUAAUUAUGUUAAAAUUAGUAACAAGAAGAAGACCUUCUCUUUAAUAUAAGUGUAUAUCAGACAGGACUAACCACUGAUAAUUAGCAUAAUUAAUUUAUAUUAGUAACCUAAACAAGAAAACUCUAAUAAAACCCUAUGUUAAUCUAACACAAGAAUAUUUCAAGAAAGAUUUAAAGAAAAAGAAGGAACUCGGCAAAUAUUAACUUCGCCUGUUUACCAAAAACAUCGCCUCUUGAUUUAAACAUAAGAGGUCCAGCCUGCCCAGUGACAUUGUUCAACGGCCGCGGUAUCCUAACCGUGCGAAGGUAGCGUAAUCACUUGUUCUUUAAAUAAGGACUAGUAUGAAUGGCAUCACGAAAGUUAUACUGUCUCCUUUUUCUAAUCAGUGAAAUUAAUCUUCCCGUGAAGAAGCGGGAAUUAAUAUAUAAGACGAGAAGACCCUAUGGAGCUUAAAACUACUUAACACCUGUUUAAUUUUUAACAAUUUAAGAAAAACAAAACAUUUAACUUUUUUUGUUAAUCAGUUUUAGGUUGGGGAGACCGCGGAGAACAAAAUAACCUCCACAUUGAAAAUAUCUUAAUGAACAAAAAACUACAACUUUAAGUACCAAUAAAUUGACAUUAAUUGACCCAAUAUAUUGAUCAACGAACCAAGUUACCCUAGGGAUAACAGCGCAAUCUACUUCAAGAGCCCCUAUCGACAAGUAGGUUUACGACCUCGAUGUUGGAUCAGGGUAUCCCAGUGGUGCAGCCGCUACUAAAGGUUCGUUUGUUCAACGAUUUAAACCCU
rnacentral:rRNA from 1 species